CCUACGGGGGGCAGCAGUGGGGAAUAUUGCACAAUGGGGGAAACCCUGAUGCAGCGACGCCGCGUGAGUGAAGAAGUAUCUCGGUACGUAAAGCUCUGUCAGCAGGGAAGAAAAUGACGGUACCUGACUAAGCAGCCCCGGCUAACUACGUGCCAGCAGCCGCGGUAAUACGUAGGGGGCAAGCGUUAUCCGGAUUUACUGGGUGUAAAGGGAGCGUAGACGGCUCAGCAAGUCCGGAGUGAAAGCCCAAGGCUUAACCUUGGGACUGCUCUGGAAACUGUGGAGCUUGAGUGCGGGAGGGGCAGGCGGAAUUCCUAGUGUAGCGGUGAAAUGCGUAGAUAUUAGGAGGAACACCAGCGGCGAAGGCGGCCUGCUGGACUGUAACUGACGUUGAGGCUCGAAAGCGUGGGGAGCAAACAGGAUUAGAUACCCUAGUAGUC
rnacentral:rRNA from 1 species